UCAGGACGAACGCUGGCGGCGCGCCUAACACAUGCAAGUCGAACGGAGCUUAGAGAGCUUGCUUUUUAAGCUUAGUGGCGAACGGGUGAGUAACGCGUGAGUAACCUGCCCUAGAGUGGGGGACAACAGUUGGAAACGACUGCUAAUACCGCAUAAGCCCACGGUACCGCAUGGCACUGAGGGAAAAGGAUUUAUUCGCUUUAGGAUGGACUCGCGUCCAAUUAGCUAGUUGGUGAGGUAACGGCCCACCAAGGCGACGAUUGGUAGCCGGACUGAGAGGUUGAACGGCCACAUUGGGACUGAGACUCGGCCCAGACUCCUACGGGAGGCAGCAGUGGGGGAUAUUGCACAAUGGGGGAAACCCUGAUGCAGCGACGCCGCGUGAAGGAAGAAGGUUUUCGGAUUGUAAACUCCUGUCGUUAGGGACGAUAAUGACGGUACCUAACAAGAAAGCACCGGCUAACUACGUGCCAGCAGCCGCGGUAAAACGUAGGGUGCAAGCGUUGUCCGGAAUUACUGGGUGUAAAGGGAGCGCAGGCGGGAAGACAAGUUGGAAGUGAAAACCAUGGGCUCAACCCAUGAAUUGCUUUCAAAACUGUUUUUCUUGAGUAGUGCAGAGGUAGAUGGAAUUCCCGGUGUAGCGGUGGAAUGCGUAGAUAUCGGGAGGAACACCAGUGGCGAAGGCGGUCUACUGGGCACCAACUGACGCUGAGGCUCGAAAGCAUGGGUAGCAAACAGGAUUAGAUACCCUGGUAGUCCAUGCCGUAAACGAUGAUUACUAGGUGUUGGGGGAUUGACCCCCUCAGUGCCGCAGUUAACACAAUAAGUAAUCCACCUGGGGAGUACGACCGCAAGGUUGAAACUCAAAGGAAUUGACGG
rnacentral:rRNA from 1 species